CCUACGGGUGGCAGCAGUGGGGAAUAUUGCACAAUGGGGGAAAGCCUGAUGCAGCGAAGCCGCGUGAGGGAUGAAGGAUUUAAGUAUGGAAAGCUCUAUCAGCAGGGAAGAAGAGGACGGUACCUGCAUAAGAAGCCCCGGCUAAAUACGUGCCAGCAGCCGCGGUAAUACGUCGGGGGCAGGCGUUAUCCGGAUUUACUGGGUGUAAAGGGAGCGUAGACGGCGAUGCAAGCCAGAUGUGAAAGCCCGGGGCUCAACCCCGGGAUUGCAUUUGGAACUGUGUGGCUGGAGUGUCGGAGAGGCAGGCGGAAUUCCUAGUGUAGCGGUGAAAUGCGUAGAUAUUAGGAGGAACACCAGUGGCGAAGGCAGCCUGCUGUACGAUAACUGACGUUGAGGCUCGAAAGCGUGGGGAGCUAACAGGAUUAGAUACCCCAGUAGUC
rnacentral:rRNA from 1 species